UACGUAGGCAGCGAGCGUUGUUCGGAGUUACUGGGCGUAAAGAGUGCGUAGGCGGUUUCGCAAGUCUGGUGUGAAAUCUCCCGGCUCAACUGGGAGGGUGCGCCGGAAACUGCGGAGCUGGAGUGUGGGAGAGGCAAGCGGAAUUCCUGGUGUAGCGGUGAAAUGCGUAGAUAUCAGGAGGAACACCUGCGGUGUAGACGGCUUGCUGGACCAUAACUGACGCUGAGGCACGAAAGCGUGGGGAGCAAACAGGAUUAGAAACCCCCGUAGUCC
rnacentral:rRNA from 1 species